rnacentral:rRNA from 1 species
UAGGGAAUCUUCCACAAUGGACGCAAGUCUGAUGGAGCAACGCCGCGUGAGUGAAGAAGGUCUUCGGAUCGUAAAGCUCUGUUGUUGGUGAAGAAGGAUAGAGGCAGUAACUGGUCUUUAUUUGACGGUAAUCAACCAGAAAGUCACGGCUAACUACGUGCCAGCAGCCGCGGUAAUACGUAGGUGGCAAGCGUUGUCCGGAUUUAUUGGGCGUAAAGCGAGCGCAGGCGGAAUGAUAAGUCUGAUGUGAAAGCCCACGGCUCAACCGUGGAACUGCAUCGGAAACUGUCAUUCUUGAGUGCAGAAGAGGAGAGUGGAACUCCAUGUGUAGCGGUGGAAUGCGUAGAUAUAUGGAAGAACACCAGUGGCGAAGGCGGCUCUCUGGUCUGCAACUGACGCUGAGGCUCGAAAGCAUGGGUAGCGAACAGGAUUAGAUACCCUGGUAGUCCAUGCCGUAAACGAUGAGCGCUAGGUGUUGGGGA